AUACUUACUUGGCAGAGGUGAUUGUAUAAUCACAAAGGUGGUUUUCCCAGGGUGAGGUUUAUUCAGUGCACUCAAGAUAGGCUGAUGUCUGCGAUUUCCCUGAAUGUGGGAAACUUGACUGUAUAUUUUAUGGUAAUGAGGGACUGUGUUUGCAGUCUCCCCUG
rnacentral:snRNA from 1 species